UACGUAGGGUGCGAGCGUUAAUCGGAAUUACUGGGCGUAAAGCGUGCGCAGGCGGUUCGUUAAGUCAGAUGUGAAAGCCCCCGGCUCAACCGGGGAAGUGCAUCUGAAACUGGCGGGCUAGAGUACGAAAGAGGGUCGCGGAAUUCCCGGUGUAGAGGUGAAAUUCGUAGAUAUCGGGAGGAACACCAGUGGCGAAGGCGGCUCACUGGUCCGGUACUGACGCUGAGGUGCGAAAGCGUGGGGAGCAAACAGG
rnacentral:rRNA from 1 species